GUUCUGCGACUACGAGGAUUUUUACAUGACAAUUCCAAAGAGAGCUUUGUGUUUCCUUCCAAGUGGACUUUAGAAAUAUUAGUAAAAACCCCACCACAAGGAACUGCACCUUCUAGGUCAUUAAAGGCAAGAUUCAACAACUGAAGGGCUUCAAGUUUUUGGAGAUCAGGAGGAAUGAAACCAGACAGAUGGUUAUAAGAAAGGUCUAAAGUUUCUAGGCCUUUCAUCUCUCCUAACACGGCAGGAACAGGGCCUGAAAACGAGUUUCUGGACAUGUACAACUCCUCUAAGCUCUCACAGUUUUUUAUUAAGCUUGGAAUAUCACCGGAUAAAUGAUUAUUAGAGAGAUCUAUAGUGACAACACUUUCGAGCAGACCGAUGUCCUCUGACAAAUUCCCGCUUAGGAAGUUGUUAGACAGAUUCAAGAUUUUGCUCAAACUUGGGAGAUUGAGAAUUUCUUUCGCAAUGCUUCCAUUGAGCUUAUUGUUGGACAAGUCCAUAGCAAGCAGACUCUGAAAAUUACCAAAAGUAGUGGGUAUUGCACCCACCAAUCCGUUUCUUGAUAAAUCUAUUUGGUUCAACUUUCGGAGAUUUCCAAGAGAAUCAGGAAUACUUCCUGAAAAUUGAUUUCCUGCCAAACCCAAAAAUUGCAGGUGCUCCAGUUGGCCAAUUUCACGUGGGAUUGAACCAGUGAUCGAGUUGUAGCUCAGAUUUAACAAGGUCAAGCCACUGAGAUGGCCAAUUGAGGCUGGUAUACCUCCAUAGAUUUGAUUUUCUCCCAUGUAUAAUUGCAAAAGAUCCUUGGAAAGAUUGCCAAUAGAUUCUGGAAUGACACCCUGCAAACGAUUGCCAUCAAAGGCAAGGAAUUUAAGCCGGGUGCUGUUUGUUAAAGAAGCGAUGAAGUCCAGACCCUUAUCUCCAGAGCUAACAAUAUUGUUGAAACCAAUAUUGUACAUCUCCAGGAAUGGAAGAUUUCCCAAACCUGGUGGCACUGUUCCUUCAAGAAGGUUAUGAGCCAUUCGAAUGACUUUUAUAUUUGUGAGAUUGUGCAAAGAACCAGGAAUUGUACCAGUGAACUUAUUGAUGCAAAAAUUGAAGACUAAAAGAUUUGGAAGUGUAACACCAACAUCACUAGGAAGUUCACCCCACAACUGGUUAGAAGCUAAGGCCAAAGUAACCAGGGAAGACAUGUUGUAGAUGUUUGAGGGAACUGAGCCAGUGAGAUUGUUUAUAGUAAGGUCAAGGACCUUCAGAUUAUGAAGUCUGCUUAAGUCACUAGGUAUUAUUCCACUAAGAGUAUUAGUGCCUAAAAUCAAAUCUUCUAGUGAAGAAAGAUUUGCUAUAGAUGGUGGAAUUGCACCUGAAAGAACAUUCCUCCCCAGGUUCAGGACUUGGAGCUUGGUAAGUGAGGUGAGCUCUUCAGGAAUUUUUCCUGUAAUCUUAUUCAUUGACAAGUCGAGCACUGUGAGAUCCGACAACUUGCUUAAGUUGGAUGAAAUUGAACCUUGCAAGCUAUUGGAACUCAGGUUCAUGGCUGUCAAGCGAAAAAGGUUACAGAUUUCAUCAGGAAUUGUUCCUCUGAGAUGAUUAUUUUGAAGCUGGAGGGACCGAAGGAAGGAGAGAUUGCCAAUAUAAGGACUUAUGGAUCCAGAAAUAUCUAAGCUGGACAGAUUGAGACCAAUAACUCUAUGGUUAAAUCUGUUGCAGGACACUCCUGUCCAGUUGCAAGGAGACGAGUUCUGGUUCCAUGAAGGUAAACCGGGUGGUUCCAGGUUAGACUUAAAUGCGAGCAAGGCUUCCUUGUCAGUCUCAAUGCUUAAAGCAACAGACAUCACUAAGGGAUAACUGCAUUUGAAAGAUACAAGAAUAGCUAACAGUAAGGUGUAUUUUAAAUGGGAGAGAAGGAGACUCAUUUCUUUGGCUUGGCUGGCUGUUUCUGGUUUCAGUUGGAACUUGGAAAUGAAUAUGGCAUGGCUUAAAGAUAGUGAAGAUGGAUUUAUAACCCAAAAAACACUUGCCUACGAUUACAUAUCUUAAAUCUUUGACACAAUUGACAUUUGAGUUUAUUGAUUUUGGACGCGCAAGUCGAUUUGGCCGUGGACGACGGUAGUCAUCAUGACUUGACAAGUAGUUGAAGACUUCUCGGAGUCAAGCCUUAACGUGCAGUAUGGUUCAGAAUAUUUGGAUCACCUUCUAACCUUAUUUUAAUGGUGACAGCAUAUGGUUUAAUUACGGUUAGAAAUCUAUAGUCCCCACAUAUCAAGAUUCGAUUUCUACCGUUGGAACACGUUACGACUCCUCCGAUCAGUCAAGCCCUGUAUAUUAAGUAGAUACGACAAUGUCACGUAUGCUAGAGUGUUUUAUAUUUUGAUAUCGGAUAUUUGACACAUAUUUAUCAUUUAAGACUAAUGAAUAUAUGUUAAUUAUCUAUCGCUUAAUGUAUAGGUGGGAACAUACACCAAGCCUAAAUAAACAUUUUUUAUAUUAAUUAUGUAUUAUUUUUGUUGGAAAAAAUUAUAGUAAUUAGAUAACUAAGGUCCUAAUAUUUGUUGAGCGAUUUUAAAUAAGUAUUAUAUUAAUUGAUAAUUAUAUUUUAUUUUAUUUUUAUGGAAUAUGUUAUUUAAUUAUCUUUUUUGUUACACAUUAGGAUUAAUUACUCUACAAUUAAAAACAUUUGUUUUAAAUUGAUUGAAAACAUAUUAUGUAUGGAAUUUGAUAUUUAACAUAAGUGUUAGGACCAAUGAAAUUUUUCAUUGAUUAAGUUUCAGAACAAAUAAUUGAUUUGUUUAGGUGAAUUGAACUUAAGAAAUAACCUAGGCACCAAAAUUGAUCCUUUUAUCAUAAAUUCAACCGUCAUUAACAGUAUCUGGUAUUAUAUUGAACAACUUUGUGCCAAAUUUCCCACUUGACCAUUUCAUGUUUAAGGCUUCACUACCUGGAUUGGACUAAUGGGAUUGGAUUCUUUGUACCUUAGUUCCUUUCAGAAUGCAUUUUAUUUUUUCUUUUCACUCUAUAAAUCCUCAUUUUCCAGUUUUUGGGAUUGAGUGGUCGUACAACUUUUACUUUCUAAUGAUGGACAAGGUGAGGGGAAUUUUUCUACAUCUUGUUGGAAAUUUGGGUUCCAACUUAAAUCAUUUUCGAAACUGAGUGACGUGUCCAAUAUAAAUUGUUACUAUCUCAAAGCCGUAUGGUUAAUUGUUAAGGAAGAACCAUCUAAAGCAAUCAAUUUAUACGCCAUUAUUGACUAGAAAUUGAAAGCUUUUCUGUUUUGUGUUCGGACAAGACUACAAGAGCCAUUCAUUUCACCUCAGGUUUAUGCAAGAACCAUUAAACUAGCCUUGGCUUGUAGCAGUAAGCAUCCCUUUCAUUCUUGCAUUGCAAUUUUAUAUGUGCAACAACGAUGAAACUGAAAAAAAGUAAAUAAUCAAAUCUUCUAGUAUAAAUAAACAAACGACAUGCAAGAAAAGUUAUUUAAGAGCAAUGCUAUGUAACAGACAUGGAGAUUUUAGUAUGAACAUCUCAAUAUUUCUAUAUUUAAGUUCAGUAUGGAGAUGGUUGAUCAUUGAACCAUAGAACUGGUGUCUAUUGCAGCCUUUUCUAGUGAAACCCUUUUGCACCAAAGAAACCCAUUUAUAGGGAGACUGAUUUAAUUUUAGAACAUAAUUAACCUUAGUCAAUGAUUGAGAUUAUACAAACAUGAUUUAUUAUGUUUAAUCUGAACACCUGAGGAUCUUAAACCUUAUUAUUUCAUGCUACACGGGACAAUUUUUGUAUCCCAACAACAUAUAAAUACAGAAAAAAAAAAAUGAAUUUCAAGUUGAAAUGUUUAAGGAUGUGAAAUAUAAAUAUAUUAUUAUUAUUAUGAUUGUUAUUAUUAUUAUUAUUAUUAUUAUUAUCAUUAUUGGAUGAUUAUCGAUCUUUCUUAUUUAAUAUUUUUAGAAUGAAAAUUGGAAUUAUGAUUGUUAAGGAACAUAAUUUUAAUUUUUUUAUUUAAAAAAUUCUCAUUUUGAUUAGAAGUACAAAAAGCCAAUAAUUCUUGGGUAUCUGCUAUGUGAAUUUUCGAAUGGCCAAAUGGUGACUAUAAAAAGAAUCAGAGUCAAAGUAGAAAUAAGGUGGAGAAAAUUAUAUGAGAAAAGAAACUAUAAAUCCAAAACUGAAUUUCAUUCAUACGAAGAAGAAAACACUAACAAACUACUCAAACAGAAGAUAGAAUAAAAGAAACUAAAACCAUUACUGAAGAAACUAAUAAAUCAUGCUGAUGGAGGAGAUGGCGAUCCUGAUGAGCAAACUUUCUUCAGAAGAGGACCAAAGAAGGGGUUGUCAAAGUGACCAAAAAUAGCCGAAAUACAAUCAUCAACGAUUUGUUGAACAGACUGGCAACAUUUAGCAUCAAGAUUGACUUUAUGAGAAGUAAAAGAUGUCAUGAUUUGUUGGACACAUCCUUGAUCAACAUGGAAAUCCUGGAAACAUUUCUGAAAUUUAGGGUCAGGAGAUGGAAGCUUGGCAUGACCAGCAGGUAGUGGUGGAAAUGCAUGACCAGGCCCCCAUGGGAAUUGUCUAUGACGAAAUGGAAAGCCGGGAAACUUUGGUGGUCCUGGUGGUGUUGGUGCAUCAUCAUCGGCAGCUGAUGAUGCUGUAAAAACAAUGAAAAGUAGCACAACAGCAAACACUUUCUUCAUCAUCAUCAUUUUUCUUUUUCUGGUGUUUUUGCCUAAUAUAAUAAUUCUUGAAAUGCUUAUUGAAAGUGAUGAGGUGCAAUGUAAAACUCGGUAGCCCUAUUUAUAAAUGGGAGUGAGAAGUGUAUUUCAGCUACUGUUUCAUUGAUUUGAUCACUUUUAUUGUUUCAAAUUCAUUCUGAUAUACUUUCUUCUUUUAUCUUUUCUGUUUCCUUUUUUUUUUUUUUUUUAAUUAUCGCUUUUUCUAUAAUUAGUUUUGGAGGAUAAACUUUUUAUGAGUCUUGAUUUAAGGAGAUGAGGCUUUCUAUAGGAUUAAGUCUUUAUGAUUCUUAUUGUUAUAGUGAAAAAGAUAACUCAAAAAAUUGUAUGUCUUAUUUCCUACAUACUGCUUUCCACAAAUUAACACAACAAAAUUAUUAAAAAACCAAAUUACACAUUGAGCACAAGAUAAGCAUAUAUCUCAUCUUAAAUUAAAUUUCAAAUUCAACUCUAAUUAAUAUACUUCUACUGAAGACUUUUAAUGGGUCUUGCUAUUUCAAAGUGAUCGAGUUAAAGAGAUAGAGAUACGUAAAGAUUAAGAUUAUAAAGUACUAUAUUCCAAUGUCACUAUAUUUUUCUUUUAAAUCAAACUCCCCAUUAUUCUGUGUCAAAGAUGAUAAUUUUCAGAUUUAAGACUUCACUAGCUAGUAUUGGACUAAUAGGAUUGGAUUGCUUAGUUUUACCUUUCAGAAUCCAUUUUUGUUCUUUCUGGUUCAUUGAUCUAAUCACUUUGCUAUUAUUGUUUCAAAUUCAUUCUGAUAUACUUUCUUUCUUUUUAUCUUUUCUGUUUCCUAUCCUUUUUUUAUGAUUAGUUUUGUAUGAUAAACUUUCUAUGAGUAUGGGGCUCUUGAGUCUUGACUGAGGCUUUCAAUAUGAUUAUGUCUUUCUGAUUUUUGCUGUUAAAGUAAAAAAGACAAAUAAGUAAAAUUGUUUGUCUUAUUUCCUGUACUGUUCUCCAAGAAUUAAUACAACAAAUUGUAAAAAUACAUAAUUAAUUAUCAAAUUGGGACUUGUUUCUUCAUCCACAUUGAGCACAUGAUACAUCAGUUUUAUACCAACUUAUUAUACCCCAUGAUAUGAUAUUACAACAUUAUUAGGUUUAUUUUCUAUAAAUUACUUUUGGAAGGAAAUUAUGAUAAAUAUAAUAAUGUUAUAUCAAAGUAUUGGUUAAAUAGCAGUUUUCGCUAUUUAAUACACCAAAUAAAGCAUUUCUGAAGUAAGUAAUUCCAAAUAAUUUGAAUAACCAUCAGCCAUUAACAGACAUGUUGGCCUGUCAUGGUGAACACUUGACUUUGUAGUUAGGAACAUAGUUAAGAAGGUUGUCUCUAGCUGCUUUGAGCUUGAGAAGAGCAUCUCGCAUGCUGAUGCGCCUGUCUGGAGAUUCUGCAGUGCAUGAUAAUCCAACCUCACAAACUGUGAUUAGACAGUCAUUUUGUAUUUCUGAUAUAAUAGACUGGUCAUCAUGAUACCAAUUGUCCACAGGCAGUAGCAGAACAGGGUCUAGCACUUGCAGUAUAUUGGAAGAGAAAGCCGAUUGUACCCAUCCAACCAGAUUUUGUUCGCCCUUGAAACUAUCACAAGUGGGGCUCUUGCCAGUGAAUAACUCUAGUAGCAUCACUCCAAAGCUGUAUACAUCUCCAGCAGUCGAUGGUUUCACCCCUAGACCAUACUCUGCAUCAUCAUGAAUAAUUGGUAUCAACGAGAAAGUUCACCGAAUACUAUAUAACGCAUUUGUAAGCCUUAAAUUUAAGUUCAUAUGCAUGACUCAGUGGUAUGUAAAUUGUGUUUUUAUGAGGUAUGUAUCAAGGUGCUUACAGGGGAAUAUUAAGGUACUGACCUGGAGGUAUGUAUCCUAUGGAACCUUUUAGGACAUGAGUAGAGCUGAUUGAAGUCUGAACACCAAUUUUCUCUACCAGCAAUGUAGCCAGGCCAAAAUCUCCCACCUUGGCAGUCAUGUCUUCUUUUAGAAGAACAUUGCUAGGCUUCAAAUCACAAUGCACCACAGGAACUUCACAGUCAUAAUGCAAGUAAUCCAUAGCGCUCGCUGCAUCAAUGACCACAUUCAAUCUCUCCAUAAGAUUCAACCCAUCUCCAUUUUCUUUCUUCCUCUUGCCCUUAAUCCAAUCAUCCAAGCUCCCAUUACCAAGGAACUCGUAAACUAGAGCCAGAAAUUCUACAUUCUUAAAAUCAAUGCUUGAGCAAGAUGUAAUCAGUUUAACUAGAUUCCGAUGCCUCACAUUUCUUAAGGCUUCACACUCUGCAACAAAACUCUUCCAACAGCCAGUUUGUUUGAUGUCAAGGACCUUGACGGCAACAGCAGAACCGUCUACAAGAAACCCUUUGUACACUGACCCAAAGCCUCCACUUCCAAUCAAAUUUCGCUCGGCAAAGUUAUCAGUUGCUUGGCGGAGUUCGCGGUAUGAAACAAUUUGAUGUUGCUCCUUUAUCAAGUUGUUAGACGCCCAUUCGAUUUUGCCUUUGCUUCUCCUGAUAAACAACAGAUAGCCAAUAGAAAGGCAAAAUGCUAAUGUGGCCGUAACAGCAAUAACGAUAGAAAUUUUGACUACGUUCGCUCUGCGACUACGAGGAUUUUUACAUGACAAUUCCAAAGAGAGCUUUGUGUUUCCUUCCAAGUGGACUUUAGAAAUAUUAGUAAAAACCCCACCACAAGGAACUGCACCUUCUAGGUCAUUAAAGGCAAGAUUCAACAACUGAAGGGCUUCAAGUUUUUGGAGAUCAGGAGGAAUGAAACCAGAAAGAUGGUUAUAAGAAAGGUCUAAAGUUUCUAGGCCUUUC
rnacentral:lncRNA from 1 species